GCAAAUGAUGUCCAGUAAGGGAGGAGAGGUACUGCAUGCUGGUGCUGUCCUACUCCUGGAGGUGUAUUGGGUCAGUGCUGGUGCUGUCCUACUCCUGGAGGUGUUUUGGGUCGGUGGGAGUGCCUGGUGUGCUUUUGUAAAGUGCAGGGCUAACGUUUCACUGAGUUGGUGGUAGAGUAAGGUGGCUGGGGACUGUGUGUGUGUGGAAACUACACAUCCUACUAUUGGAAAGAAAAAGAAAACAAAGACAGAGAGCGAGAGAGAGAAGCAGCUGGUAUCCAGUGACAGGCUGCCAGGGGGAAACUGUGAGGUCUGCACUGCUCAGGUGUGUUAAGCUGUUAAAAAGGUCUCAUCAGUUACAAUUCCUUUUUCCAGAACUGUUUUCCAGG
ensembl:lncRNA